UCGUCAGCUCGUGUCGUGAGAUGUUGGGUUAAGUCCCGCAACGAGCGCAACCCCUAUUCGCUAGUUUACCAUCAUUAAGUUGGGGACUCUAGCGAGACUGCCAGUGGAUAAACUGGAGGAAGGUGGGGGAUGACGUCAAAUCAUCAUGCCCCUUAUGACCUGGGCUACAAACGUGAUACAAUGGCUGGAACAAAGGGAUGCGAAGCAGUGAUGUGGAGCGAAACCCAUAAAAACAGUCUCAGUUCGGAUUGAAGUCUGCAACUCGACUUCAUGAAGUCGGAAUCGCUAGUAAUCGCGGAUCAGAACGCCGCGGUGAAUACGUUCUCGGGGUUU
rnacentral:rRNA from 1 species